GAGGGUAUAGCCCAAGUGGUAGAGCGCUUGAUUAGCAUGCACAAGAUCCUAGGUUCAAUCCCCAGUAUCCUUC
rnacentral:tRNA from 1 species